rnacentral:rRNA from 1 species
GUGAACGCUGGCGGUAGGCCUAACACAUGCAAGUCGAACGGCAGCACAGAGGAGCUUGCUCCUUGGGUGGCGAGUGGCGGACGGGUGAGGAAUACAUCGGAAUCUACCUUGUCGUGGGGGAUAACGUAGGGAAACUUACGCUAAUACCGCAUACGACCUACGGGUGAAAGCGGAGGACCGCAAGGCUUCGCGCGAUUGGAUGAGCCGAUGUCGGAUUAGCUUGUUGGCGGGGUAAUGGCCCACCAAGGCGACGAUCCGUAGCUGGUCUGAGAGGAUGAUCAGCCACACUGGAACUGAGACACGGUCCAGACUCCUACGGGAGGCAGCAGUGGGGAAUAUUGGACAAUGGGCGCAAGCCUGAUCCAGCCAUACCGCGUGGGUGAAGAAGGCCUUCGGGUUGUAAAGCCCUUUUGUUGGGUAAAGAAUACCUGUCGGUUAAUACCCGGUAGGGAUGACGGUA